rnacentral:rRNA from 1 species
UACGUAGGGGGCAAGCGUUGUCCGGAAUUAUUGGGCGUAAAGAGCGUGUAGGCGGUCCGGUAAGUCGGCUGUGAAAGUCCAGGGCUCAACCCUGGGAUGCCGGUCGAUACUGCCGGACUAGAGUUCGGAAGAGGCGAGUGGAAUUCCCGGUGUAGCGGUGAAAUGCGCAGAUAUCAGGAAGAACACCCGUGGCGAAGGCGGUUCUCUGGGACGGUACUGACGCUGAGACGCGAAAGCGUGGGGAGCGAACAGG